rnacentral:rRNA from 1 species
UACGAAGGGGGCUAGCGUUGUUCGGAAUUACUGGGCGUGAAGCGCACGUAGGCGGACUAUUAAGUCAGGGGUGAAAUCCCGGGGCUCAACCCCGGAACUGCCUUUGAUACUGGUAGUCUCGAGUCCGGAAGAGGUGAGUGGAAUUCCGAGUGUAGAGGUGAAAUUCGUAGAUAUUCGGAGGAACACCAGUGGCGAAGGCGGCUCACUGGUCCGGUACUGACGCUGAGGUGCGAAAGCGUGGGGAGCAAACAGG